CAGACUCCUACGGGAGGCAGCAGUGGGGAAUAUUGGACAAUGGGCGAAAGCCUGAUCCAGCAAUGCCGCGUGAGUGAUGAAGGCCUUAGGGUUGUAAAGCUCUUUUACCCGGGAUGAUAAUGACAGUACCGGGAGAAUAAGCCCCGGCUAACUCCGUGCCAGCAGCCGCGGUAAUACGGAGGGGGCUAGCGUUGUUCGGAAUUACUGGGCGUAAAGCGCACGUAGGCGGCUUUGUAAGUUAGAGGUGAAAGCCCGGGGCUCAACUCCGGAACUGCCUUUAAGACUGCAUCGCUUGAAUCCGGGAGA
rnacentral:rRNA from 1 species